rnacentral:rRNA from 1 species
GACGAACGCUGGCGGCGUGCCUAAUACAUGCAAGUAGGACGCAGUUGCGAACGGGUGCGUAACGCGUAGGUAACUACCUAUUAGAGGGGGAUAACUAUUGGUAACGUUAGCUAUUACCGCAUACUAGUAGAUGGACCUGCGUUGUAUUAGCUAGUAGGUAGGGUAAUGGCCUACCUAGGCAACGAUACAUAGCCGACCGGAGAGGGGGAGCGGCCAAACGGGGACGUAGACACGGCCCAGACUCCUAAGGGAGGAAGCAGUAGGGAAUCGUAGGCAAUGGGGGGAACCCUGACCGAGCAACGCCGCGGGAGGGAAGAAGGUUUUCGGAUCGUAAAGAUCUGUUGUUAAGGAAGCGGUACUUAACCAGAAAGGGACGGCUAACUACGUGCCAGCAGCCGCGGUAAUUC